rnacentral:tRNA from 1 species
GGUCGUGUGGCCUAAUGGAUAAGGCGUCGGACUUCUAAUCCGAGAAUUGCGGGUUCGAGUCCCGCCACGAUUA